CACUCUACAGCUCUAUGAUCUAUGAGGUCCCUUCCAACCCAACCCAUGGCUCUGCAAUCCGUAAGGUCGACCUAUAAGAUCCCUUCCCACUCAACCCAACCACUCUACAACUCUAUGAUCUAUGAGGUCCCUUCCAACCCAACCACUCUAUGAUCUAUGAGGUCCCUUCCAACCCAACCCAUGGCUCUGCAAUCCGUAAGGUCGACCUAUAAGACCCCUUCCCACUCAACCCAACCAUUUUACGUCCCUAUGACCUAUAAGGCCCCUUCCAACCCAACCCAACCAUUCUAUGCCUCCGUGAUCAAUUAAGACCCUUUCCAACCCAACCAUUUGGUGGCUCUGGGAUCCAUAAGGACUCUUCCAAUCCCACCCAACCCAACCACACUACAGCUCUGUGACCCACACAGUCCCUUCCAACCCAACCACUCUACAACUCUAUGAUCUAUGAGGUCCAUUCCAACCCAACCCAUGGCUCUGCAAUCCGUAAGGUCGACCUAUAAGAUCCCUUCCCACUCAACCCAACCAUUUUACGUCCCUAUGACCUAUGAGGUCCCUUCCAACCCAACCACUUUAUGAUCUAUGAGGUUCCUUCCAACCCAACCCAACCAUUCCAUGGCUCCAUGACCGAUAAGAUCCCUUCCAACCCAACCACUCUACAGCUCUGUGAUCUACAAAGUCUUUUCCAACCCAACCACUCUAUGACUCUAUGAUCUGUGAGGCCCCUUCCAACCCAACCCAACCAUUCUAUGCCUCCGUGAUCAAUUAAGACCCUUUCCAACCCAACCAUUUGGUGGCUCUGGGAUCCAUAAGGACCCUUCCAAUCCCACCCAACCCAACCACACUACUGUUCAGCGACCCACACAGUCCCUUCCAACCCAACCACUCUACAGCUCUGUGAUCUAUGAGGUCCCUUCCAACCCAACCCAUGGCUCUGCAAUCCGUAAGGUCGACCUAUAAGAUCCCUUCCCACUCAACCCAACCAUUUUACGUCCCUAUGACCUAUAAGGUCCCUUCCAACCCAACCACUCUGUGAUCCAUAAGGACCCUUCCAAACCCACCCAACCCAACCACACUACAGCUCUGUGACCCACACAGUCCCUUCCAACCCAACCACUCUAUGACUCUAUGAUCUAUGAGGUCCCUUCCAACCCAACCCAUGGCUCUGCAAUCCGUAAGGUCGACCUAUAAGACCCCUUCCCACUCAACCCAACCAUUUUACGUCCCUAUGACCUAUGAGGUCCCUUCCAACCCAACCCAACCAUUCCAUGGCUCCAUGACUGAUAAGAUCCCUUCCAACCCAACCACUCUACAGCUCUGUGAUCUAUGAG
rnacentral:lncRNA from 1 species